UGGGGAAUAUUGGACAAUGGGCGAAAGCCUGAUCCAGCCAUGCCGCGUGUGUGAAGAAGGUCUUCGGAUUGUAAAGCACUUUAAGUUGGGAGGAAGGGCAGUAAGUUAAUACCUUGCUGUUUUGACGUUACCAACAGAAUAAGCACCGGCUAACUUCGUGCCAGCAGCCGCGGUAAUACGAAGGGUGCAAGCGUUAAUCGGAAUUACUGGGCGUAAAGCGCGCGUAGGUGGUUCAGCAAGUUGGAUGUGAAAUCCCCGGGCUCAACCUGGGAACUGCAUCCAAAACUACUGAGCUAGAGUACGGAAGAGGGUGGUGGAAUUUCCUGUGUGGCGGUGAAAUGCGUAGAUAUAGGAAGGAACACCAGUGGCGAAGGCGACCACCUGGACUGAUACUGACACUGAGGUGCGAAAGCGGGGGGGAGCAAACAGGAUUAGAUACCCUGGUAGUCCACGCCGUAAACGAUGUCGACUAGCCGUUGGUAUUCANNGAGAUCUUAGUGGCGCAGAUAANGCGAUAAGUCGACCGCCUGGGGGAGUACGGCCGCANGGUUA
rnacentral:rRNA from 1 species